AUUUCAGGUCUGCGGUCAUGUGGUUGGACAGAGGAAGUUUGUAGUUCCAUGCGUUCUAGAAAGAAGGUGUGUUCACAAGAAGCAGGCGAUAUGGCAUCAACUAACAAUGGAUUAAAGAAGUUGUUGAUUACAGAUGCAAAAAGAAAUUUCGUCUCUCAAAUUCCCGAGUCCUUGAAAGAGAACCUUAUUCAACGUCUGAAAUCAUUUAGCUGGGAAAAAUGACAUUCAGGUCCUUGAGCAACUUGGCAUGUCUCCUGAUGUAUGUUGGUAGUGGAGCUUGGUGUAUAAUCUGUAACAUUGGUUUUGUUUCGUUGAGUGGUGGCAGCUUCCUUGAGCAAUAACUGGGGGUAUGUCAUAUUCUUUAUCUUUGCGGUCGGGAGCAGGUUGUUCUAUCAGUGUCAUUUGAUCUUUUGUCAAUCGGAAUAUAGGUGGGGGCUUCACUGGUCAAAUGUGACAUCAAAGAUCCGAGUUCAAUAACUGCCAAAAGUUCUUUCUCCUUUGCACCUGUGCAGUUGUGGUUUUGGUAGAGAACGAGCUCAGAAUUUCUAUUAAAUUUGUAUGAUAUAUCUCUUUUCAGCAAUCAUCGUUAGUAUACAAUCCUCAUUUUAUGGACGCUUUGCAAUUUUCCCAUAAAUAUGUGGUCGGAUUAGUACUCUUGGAUCUUUAUGCUAUCAUUGAGUUUUACUUAAAAAAAAUAAAAUAAAAAAAAUGAUGGAAUCUUGACUACCCAUAAA